GAUGAACGCUGGCGGCGUGCUUAACACAUGCAAGUCGAACGGAAAGGCUCCUGCUUGCAGGGGUACUCGAGUGGCGAACGGGUGAGUAACACGUGGGUGAUCUGCCCUGCACUUCGGGAUAAGCCUGGGAAACUGGGUCUAAUACCGGAUAGGACGAUGGUUUGGAUGCCAUUGUGGAAAGUUUUUUCGGUGUGGGAUGAGCUCGCGGCCUAUCAGCUUGUUGGUGGGGUAAUGGCCUACCAAGGCGUCGACGGGUAGUCGGCCUGAGAGGGUGUACGGCCACAUUGGGACUGAGAUACGGCCCAGACUCCUACGGGAGGCAGCAGUGGGGAAUAUUGCACAAUGGGCGCAAGCCUGAUGCAGCGACGCCGCGUGGGGGAUGACGGCCUUCGGGUUGUAAACUCCUUUCGCUAGGGACGAAGCGCAAGUGACGGUACCUGGAGAAGAAGCACCGGCUAACUACGUG
rnacentral:rRNA from 1 species